CUCUGGUGGUGACGUAUAAGUGCUUUCUCAGUACUUUCUCUCGCUUUUGGACAAAUCCAAGUGCUGUAUCUGUACCCGAAUAGAAAUAAAGGAUUUUAAUGACACAGUUUUCUUCCGCUCUGAAAGUGAACGAAUUACAAAACAGUCUAGAGAAUUCCUCGCCCUGCUGCAGAAGAUCAAUCCUGGGUUGUGCUCACCAAAGCAAACCUCUUUUUUUGUGUAUUCAGUGUCUUAACUAUGUAAAAGACAACUAUAACAGGGUGUACAGUGCUGUUUCUGAAAUUGACGAAUCCUCUUGUGAUGAAGAUUGAAGAAGCUAUUGCCAUCCAAGUGGAAAAAGUCCCGCCUUUGUCACCCUCCUCGAAUAGAACUAAGAAAAUGUGGAGACUUUCUUCAUUUAGUUCCAAAUCAAGUGGACCAGAUGUUGAUUUGUUUGAAAUGGACUGAGACUUGUGUUUCAUAUGCCAGGUUGAACAGGUUUGUGUGAAACUUUUGCUCGCAAAUAUAAUUAUUAUACAUAUUAUCUCGAUUUAAUUUUAA